rnacentral:rRNA from 1 species
CCUACGGGAGGCAUCAGUGGGGGAUAUUGGACACUUGGGGGAACCCUGAUCCAGCGACGCCGCGUGAGAGAAGAAGUAUUUCGGUAUGUUAAGCUCUGUCAGCAGGGACGACAGAAAUUCCGGUACCUGACCAAGAAACCCUGGCUAACUACGUGCCAUCAGCCGCGGUAAUACGUAGUGGGCAAGCUUUCACCGGAAUUCCUGCGUUGAAAGGGAGAGUGGACGGUUAAGUAAGUAUGUAGUGAAAGUCCGGGGCCCAACCCCGGGACUGCUUGGGAAACUAUGCAACUUGAGUGCACGAGAGGUAGGCGGAAUUCCUAGUGUAGCGGUGAAAUGCGUAGAGAUUAGGAGGAACACCAGUGGCGAAGGCGGCUUACUGGACUGUAACUGACGUUGAGGCUCGAAAGCGUGGGGAGCAAACAGGAUUAGAUACCCUUGUAGUC